rnacentral:rRNA from 1 species
UGGUGCCAGCAGCCGCGGUAAUUCCAGCUCCAAUAGCGUAUAUUAAAGUUGUUGCAGUUAAAAAGCUCGUAGUUGAAUUUCGGGAUCAUCAGGUUGGUCGUGCCAUUGGUAUGUACUAGCUUUGGUGGUUCCUACCUCUUGAAGAACCGUAAUGUCAUUAACUUGGUGUUGCGGGGAAUCAGGACUGUUACUUUGAAAAAAUUAGAGUGUUUAAAGCAGGCAAACGCUUGAAUACAUUAGCAUGGAAUAAUGAAAUAGGACGUUUGAUCUUAUUUUGUUGGUUUCUAGGAUCGACGUAAUGAUUAAUAGGGAUAGUUGGGGGCAUUAGUAUUCAAUUGUCAGGGGUGAAAUUCUUGGAUUUAUUGAAGACUAACUACUGCGAAAGCAUUUGCCAAGGAUGUUUUCAUUAAUCAAGAACGAAAGUUAGGGGAUCGAAGACGAUCAGAUACCGUCGUAGUCUUAACCAUAAACUAUGCCGACUAGGGA